CAUUAACAAUAUUGUAACCCAUUUCAUUUCUCUCUCUACCCAAUAUAACCAGAAAAACUACUCAGUGUCUGCGUCGAGCCGAGUCGACUCAGUCUAUAAAACCAACUGGGUUUUGAUUCCGCUACUGAAUUCUACUCUACUGUUACUGAAAGUCCCUGUCUUUCUUUGCUCUGUUUUAUCAUGUUAGAGGGAUCUUGUAUCGCCUCAAAGGAAUCACCAGCAUCAUGUGAGCAAGAGAGCCAGCGGACUUUCAGCACUUCCUAUGUUGUUGAGUUGUCUGGCAAGCGCCGGAUUGAAGAUGAAGAUGUCGAAUCAAGAAAAGCUGCUAGGCUACUCGACGCAAACGACAGUCAACAAGAGAUGGAGGGUCUUCUAGAGGUUCUCCCUUCAUUGCAAAUUGAUCAAUCAGAUAAGGAGAACCAAGCAGAGGCUCUGACUGAUAUUUCUGUUAUGCAAUCUGAUCAUCCAGGUCAGAGUGGCCUUUCAGCAUUGCAAACUGAUCAAACAGAACGUCUGCUUGUUCGUUUGGUUUUGCAAUCUGAUCACCCGGUGCAGCAGCAAGUGGCAGGUUUCAGUGACCUUUCUGUUGUGCAAACUGAUCAGCCCUAUACGCAGCAGCAAGAAAAUGGUCCACAGGAGUUCUCUAUUAUGCAAGCUAAUCAGGCAGAUUGUCAGGAUCAAGAGGACGAAAAGGCAGAUUCAAGUUCACUUAUUAAUCCACUAGGUCGAGAACUGUCAAUAAGCUGUCUCCUCCAUUGUUCUAGGUCUGACUAUGGAAACAUUGCUUCACUAAACAAAAGUUUCCUGUCCUUGAUUCGGAGUGGUCUGCUGUAUAAGCUGAGGAGGAGUAUGGGUUUUGUCGAAGAUUGGGUUUACUUCUCUUGCAACCUUCUAGAAUGGGAGGCCUUCGAUCCUAUUCGCUGCCGAUGGAUGCAUUUGCCAAGAAUGAAUGCAAAUGAAUGCUUUAUGUGUUCGGACAAGGAAUCACUGGCUGUAGGGACACAACUUCUUGUUUUUGGAAAGGAGAUAGAGUCUCAUGUUAUUUACAAAUAUAGCAUUUUAUCAAACAUGUGGACAUCUGGCAUGAAGAUGAAUGCACCUCGAUGCUUGUUUGGGUCUGCCAGUUUGGGCGAAAUUGCAAUUCUAGCUGGCGGUUGUGACCCAGCUGGGAAAAUUUUGAGCUCAGCAGAACUUUAUAAUUCGGAAACUGGCACAUGGAGUACCAUACCAAGCAUGCAUAAAGCUAGGAAAAUGUGUUCUGGGGUAUUUAUGGAUGGAAAAUUUUAUGUUAUCGGCGGUCGCGGGAUAGGUAAUACAAAUAUGCUUACCUGUGCGGAGGUGUAUGAUUUAGCAACAAAAACGUGGCGCGUGAUACCUGAUAUGCUCCCUGCACGAAAUGGAGGGACCAGAGGAAAUGAAACACCUGCUGCAGCUGAGGCACCUCCUUUAGUCGCUGUUGUAAAUAAUGAGCUUUAUGCUGCUGACUAUGCACAAAAGGAGGUGAGAAAAUAUGACAAAGAGAAAAAUGCGUGGAACACACUGGGUGGUUUGCCGGAGGAUGCAGUUUCGAUGAACGGUUGGGGGCUGGCUUUUAGAGCAUGUGGUGACCGGCUAAUUGUUAUAGGCGGUCCUAGGGCUUUAGGUGGGGGCAUGAUUGAGCUUAAUUCUUGGGUUCCAAGCGAAGGGCCCCCAAAAUGGAAUCUGCUUGCAAAGAAACAAUCGGGCAGCUUCGUCUACAAUUGUGCUGUGAUGGGAUGCUGAGGUGUGCAAUUUAGCCACACCAAGUGUAAAGCGUGACCUUCAGUAGGUUUCCGAGGAGAUGGGAUGUGGACAUUUGUUUUUCAGGUAAUGGUGCUAAGGUUCCAUCUACCUGCCUGUUCACCUCAAGAACUUUGAUUGCAGGGAGGUCCCUCGACCAUGUCUGAGCCAGCUUGUUUACAUCCAUAUACUCUGGACGAAAAGCUUCAAGGUGCUCACGAUUUUCCUGAAACGGGGAAAGCCUCAAAAUCUUUGGUUGCCGCUGAAGAGUGUAUCCAUGUUAUAGUGGACCAUAUUCAGCCAAAGAAUUAAGCUAUCGGGGCAGCUCUGCAUUCAUGAUGUACUAUAUAUGUCGAGUCAAAAUGGGCUCCGAUUCUAACAGCAGUGAGAAAUGACUAUCGAGGAGCAACCAGAAGAAGCUGAGGGUUCGAUAUUGACAAUAUUCAGAUUGUGAACUUUAAUUUGACCUCUGGACAGUGAAACGUGAACAGUUUUCGGUUAUGAUUUUGUUCUAUAACAUAAAAGGAGGUCAAAAUGUCUGAAAAUAGCAAGUCUUGUUGUUUUAUUGACUGUCAUGAACAUUUAUGAAUGUUUGAUUUGUGUACUUGAUUUAUGACAUCAGCCGAUUGGCUUAUGGUUAUGGUAGGCCAGAAAAGGUUCUCAGUUUGCUUGUUCCUGUUAUUUCAAUUACUGUUUCUUGUUGUGUUUUGUACUUGGUUAUGUAAAAGAACACUUUUAUUUAGUGAAUUUUCUGCAUUUUCUUA